rnacentral:rRNA from 1 species
UACCAGCACCCCGAGUGGUCGGGACGAUUAUUGGGCCUAAAGCAUCCGUAGCCGGUUCUACAAGUCUUCCGUUAAAUCCACCUGCUUAACAGAUGGGCUGCGGAGGAUACUAUAGAGCUAGGAGGCGGGAGAGGCAAGCGGUACUUAGUGGGUAGGGGUAAAAUCCGUUGAUCCAUUGAAGACCACCAGUGGCGAAGGCGGCUUGCCAGAACGCACUCGACGGUGAGGGAUGAAAGCUGGGGGAGCAAACCGGG